CCUACGGGGGGCAGCAGUGGGGAAUAUUGGGCAAUGGAGGCAACUCUGACCCAGCAACGCCGCGUGAAUGAUGAAGGUCUUCGGAUUGUAAAGUUCUUUUCUAAGGGAAGAAGAAAGUGACGGUACCUUAGGAAUAAGCCCCGGCUAACUACGUGCCAGCAGCCGCGGUAAUACGUAGGGGGCAAGCGUUAUCCGGAUUUACUGGGUGUAAAGGGAGCGUAGACGGCGAAGAAAGUCUGAAGUGAAAGCCCGCGGCUCAACCGCGGAACUGCUUUGGAAACUUUUUUGCUGGAGUACCGGAGAGGUAAGCGGAAUUCCUAGUGGAGCGGUGAAAUGCGUAGAUAUUAGGAGGAACACCAGUGGCGAAGGCGGCUUACUGGACGGUAACUGACGUUGAGGCUCGAAAGCGUGGGGAGCAAACAGGAUUAGAUACCCUAGUAGUC
rnacentral:rRNA from 1 species